UACGUAGGGUGCGAGCGUUGUCCGGAAUUAUUGGGCGUAAAGGGCUCGUAGGCGGUUUUGUCGCGUCGGGAGUGAAAAACUCAGGGCUUAACCCUGAGCCUGCUUCCGAUACGGGCAGACUAGAGGUAUGCAGGGGAGAACGGAAUUCCUGGUGUAGCGGUGAAAAUGCGCAGAUAUCAGGAGGAACACCGGUGGCGAAGGCGGUUCUCUGGGCAUUACCUGACGCUGAGGAGCGAAAAGUGUGGGGGAGCGAACAGG
rnacentral:rRNA from 1 species